rnacentral:rRNA from 1 species
GUGCAGCAGUCGAGAAAACUUCACACUGUGCGAAAGCACGAUGAGGGAAUCCUAAGUGCUUGCACGUAAGUGUAAGCUGUUUCUCUGUCUAAAACGCAGAGAGAGUAAGGGCUGGGUAAGACGGGUGCCAGCCGCCGCGGUAAUACCUGCAGCUCAAGUGGUGACCGUUAUUAUUGGGCCUAAAACGUCCGUAGCCGGUUUAAUAAAUGCCUGGGUAAAUUGUGUAGCUUAACUAUACGAAUUCCGGGUAGACUGUUAAACUUGAGACCGGGAGAAGUUAGAGGUACUCCUGGGGUAGAGGUGAAAUUCUGUAAUCCUAGGGGGACCACCAGUGGCGAAGGCGUCUAACUAGAACGGGUCUGAUGGUGAGGGACGAAGCCCUGGGGCGCAAACGGGAUUAGAUACCCGUGUAGU